GGCUCAAUGGUCUAGUAGUAUGAUUCGCGCUUCGGGAUGUCAAUCCAGUGACUGCCUGGUCAUUAUCUGUGCGAGGUCCCGAGUUCAACUCUCGGUUGAGCCC